AUGAACGCUAGCGACAGGCUUAACACAUGCAAGUCGAGGGGCAGCACAGGUAGCAAUACCGGGUGGCGACCGGCGCACGGGUGAGUAACGCGUAUGCAACUUACCUAUCAGAGGGGGAUAACCCGGCGAAAGUCGGACUAAUACCGCAUGAAGCAGGGGCCCCGCAUGGGGAUAUUUGCUAAAGAUUCAUCGCUGAUAGAUAGGCAUGCGUUCCAUUAGGCAGUUGGCGGGGUAACGGCCCACCAAACCGACGAUGGAUAGGGGUUCUGAGAGGAAGGUCCCCCACAUUGGUACUGAGACACGGACCAAACUCCUACGGGAGGCAGCAGUGAGGAAUAUUGGUCAAUGGGCGUAAGCCUGAACCAGCCAAGUCGCGUGAGGGAUGAAGGUUCUAUGGAUCGUAAACCUCUUUUAUAAGGGAAUAAAGUGCGGGACGUGUCCCGUUUUGUAUGUACCUUAUGAAUAAGGAUCGGCUAACUCCGUGCCAGCAGCCGCGGUAAUACGGAGGAUCCGAGCGUUAUCCGGAUUUAUUGGGUUUAAAGGGUGCGUAGGCGGCCUUUUAAGUCAGCGGUGAAAGUCUGUGGCUCAACCAUAGAAUUGCCGUUGAAACUGGGGGGCUUGAGUAUGUUUGAGGCAGGCGGAAUGCGUGGUGUAGCGGUGAAAUGCUUAGAUAUCACGCAGAACCCCGAUUGCGAAGGCAGCCUGCCAAGCCAUGACUGACGCUGAUGCACGAAAGCGUGGGGAUCAAACAGGAUUAGAUACCCUGGUAGUCCACGCAGUAAACGAUGAUCACUAGCUGUUUGCGAUACACUGUAAGCGGCACAGCGAAAGCGUUAAGUGAUCCACCUGGGGAGUACGCCGGCAACGGUGAAACUCAAAGGAAUUGACGGGGGCCCGCACAAGCGGAGGAACAUGUGGUUUAAUUCGAUGAUACGCGAGGAACCUUACCCGGGUUUGAACGCAUUCGGACCGAGGUGGAAACACCUUUUCUAACAAUAGCCGUUUGCGAGGUGCUGCAUGGUUGUCGUCAGCUCGUGCCGUGAGGUGUCGGCUUAAGUGCCAUAACGAGCGCAACCCUUGCCACUAGUUACUAACAGGUAAAGCUGAGGACUCUGGUGGGACUGCCAGCGUAAGCUGCGAGGAAGGCGGGGAUGACGUCAAAUCAGCACGGCCCUUACAUCCGGGGCGACACACGUGUUACAAUGGCGUGGACAAAGGGAUGCCACCUGGCGACAGGGAGCGAAUCCCCAAACCACGUCUCAGUUCGGAUCGGAGUCUGCAACCCGACUCCGUGAAGCUGGAUUCGCUAGUAAUCGCGCAUCAGCCAUGGCGCGGUGAAUACGUUCCCGGGCCUUGUACACACCGCCCGUCAAGCCAUGGGAGCCGGGGGUACCUGAAGUCCGUAACCGCGAGGAUCGGCCUAGGGUAAAACUGGUGACUGGGGCU
rnacentral:rRNA from 1 species